rnacentral:piRNA from 1 species
UCCGUGAAUUUGCUGUCCCUAUUUUUUGUG